rnacentral:rRNA from 1 species
ACUUUCGNAGAUGGAUUGCUUCCUUCGGGACCUUUCCUNUGGUGCUGCAUGGGUGUCCUCAGCUCGUGGCCUGAGGGGUUUGGUUAAGUCCCCCAACCAGCGCAACCCUUUUUCUUUUUUGCCCAUCAGUUAUGGCUGGAAUUUUAAGGAAAAUGGCCGUGACAAAAGGGAAGAAGGGGGGGAAGAAUGUCAAUCAUCCGGGGCCUUUAGGCCGGGGGUAACCCGCUGUUUAAAUGGUCGGUAAAAAAGAUUGCUCCCUUACGAAANAGGACUAAUCUCCAAAAACCNACUUUAAUUUGGAUUGGAGUUNGCNCCUUCACUUGNUAAAAGCGGAAACCGCUAUAAACGUAAUCAAAAUGCG